rnacentral:lncRNA from 10 species
UGGCUAUGUUCCCCACACCGGUCUUGAACUCCUGGCCUCAAGCAAUCCUCCCUCCUCGGCCUUCCAAAGUGUUGGGAUUACACGUCUGCGCCACCCCAUCUGGCCUAAAAUGUUUUGAAUUAAUGAAAACAGUACUGUACCAAUCAAGAGAAGUAGGAUGGAGGAUCUGGUGAAAAAGAGAUUGCUUCUGACAAGCCUGCCCGCUGCGUGGCUUUUCCAGCUACACUGACUAGCAUUGUGUUCACCUGGAGAGAGGAGAUUCUAAACCAUCCACUCCCUGCUGAUCCUUAGUUUCUGGCUGGUGACACACCAGAAGGAUAGGAUGGCUCCAAUCUCCCUGAUGAAGGGGUAAUCACCUGACUUUCUCUUGGAAACAGAGGCACUGGUUCAGGUCCACAACAUUGAACUUGGAGAGCAAUAACCUCUGUGUGCACAGUCACUGCUGGCUGAAUCAAAAGGCAGGCAUUAGGGAUAAACACUGUCUUUUAAGAAUAGGAGUGAAUGUCUAUACAUUUCUGACAAACGCAGUUUUAUUUAAACAAAAAAAAAAGUGGAGACUGGGAAGACCAGAGAGGGAGGGGCAAAUGAAGGGGCAAAGGAAAGAAGCCCAGUUUCUGGAAUUAUUCAACUAAGUAUGCUUUUAAAAGCUAACAACCACAAAACCCUAAGCCAAACCCUGUUUACUGGCCCCUUGCUAGCCUUGUGUGUUUGCACUCUUGCUCCAUAACGGCUUGUAAAUACCACCAUGUAAAACCUUGAAGGCAAACAGAAGACAAGAAGGGACAAGCUGCAUGUGCUAGGGGUGAAUGAAGUAUGUGUCAAGGUAUUUGGAUGGAGAUGUGCCCAGAAUCUUCCUAGUCAAGCUUAAUAAACUUUGGCCCAAGGUCCUCUCCUGUUAUUGAAACUCUUUCAUCUGGCAGAAGAUCUUUUUCUCAGAUCCAAAUUGGUGCCUCCCACCCUUCCCCAAACUGAACAAUAAAACCAAAAUAAGGAGGAAGCCUAAAAUUAGGAACUGUAAGCAUAUCACUGGUAAAAUAACAAGACACUGUUGGCCGGGCACGGUGGCUCACGCCUAUAAUCCCAGCACUUUGGGAGGCCGAGGUGGGUGGAUCACUUGAGGCCAGGAGUUCAAGACCAGGCUGGCCAACAUGGCAAAAUCCCAUCUCUACUACAACUACAAAAAUUAGCUGGGUAGGGUGGUACACGCCUGUGAUCCCAGCUACUUGGGAGGCUGAGGCACAAGAAUCACUUGAACAGGGAGGCAGAGGUUGCGGUGAGCCGAGAUCACGCCACUGCAUUCCAGCCUGCACAGCAGAGUGAGAGACCCUGUCUCAAAAAAAAAAAAAAAAAAAAAAAAAAGAAGACACUGUCACUGGGUGUGAAUCCUGGCAGUGUCUGUGCAAAGAGAACAGUUGUAUAUUGUGUAUUGAUUUUUCUCAGUUAUUAUUCAUGCUGACAGGCGGCCUCAAAUUGUGAGUGCUCAUUCUUCUUAAUGCUAUGCAGAUUCUUAUGUCGGUGCAUUGUAUAAACCAGAAAAGGUUUGGCCACAGUCCAUUCCUGUGUUACAGAUCAAUAAAUUGCUUCUUUUCUCCCUCAGAGGACAGUGCAAACCAGUAAAUCUUAAGUGGUACAAUGGUGGCUUAGUUCUCCUAGCUAAGAAAGAAACCACUCCUGCGAAACGAUUUAGGAAAAUACAUCAACAGAGAAAAUAAAGAAUUUGUCUUUGUGUCUAUUUAUUUCGGGAGACUGAAGGAUGCUGAUGCAUGUUUUAGUAGAUCGCCAAGUAAGGUACAAUGAAUGACGGAAACAUUGCAUGAGCUGACCCCAUAAAUACUUUACAUUAGCUAAAAUGAUACAAAUAUGAAAAACAGCACACUAGAACUUUGAUAAAAAUACACCAAUGCAAACAAGUAGUUAGAUAAAAUUGAGAUUUGAUAUAUACUCUAGCACUGCUAAACUAUCAAAUGCCACUAUCUCAGUUAGAAACAAGAUAAUGCUGAUGAUAAUAUUGAUGGUAAUGUUGAUGGCAGCUAAUGUUAAUAGACCUCUUACUAUUAGUUAUUGAAAUAUAAAAUGUCACCCAAAGUGUAACAUUAAGUACUACUAAUAAAAAAGAUGUCACUAAAUGAUAAAAUGCUUAUUAAGAAAUUACAUUCAUUAUAAGACACAUCCUCAUUUCAGAGGCCAUAUGAGAAAAAUGCAUACCUUACCACUGAUGCAAUUGUUACAUUCAAGGGACUUUUAAAAACACUUAACAGUUAUUACCUUGUUUAAACUUCACAACAACCCUACAAAGUACUACCCCUUCUCUCCAUUGUAUACAUAAGAAACAAGCACAGGGAGUUUUAGAACUUGCUCACAUCACACAGCUAGUAUGACAGUGCUGACAUUUAAAGCUGAGCAAUUCAGCCCUAGGGCUCUUGUGAUUAUGUGAUUUAGAGUAAGGGCACUAUUGUUUUAACAAAUGAGAACUUAGGGCAUAAAUGAGUGAUGCAUAUACGUAAGGUAGACACCUUAGUUACCUAUAUGCUUACUGCAAGGAGGCUUUGCGCAAAUCCUUUUUAGAUAAGAAAGCUGCAUCUCGGAAUUUUAUGUAAUUUUUUUUCUUUUUUGAGACGGAGUCUUGCUCUGUAGCCCAGGCUGGAGUGCAGUGGCGCGAUCUCAGCUCACUGCAACCUCCGCCUCCCAGGUUCAGGUGAUUCUCCUGCCUCAGCCUCCCAAGCAGCUGGGAUUACAGGUGUGUACCACCAUGCCCAGCUAAUUUUUGCAUUUUUAGUAGAGAUGGGGUUUCACCAUGUUGGCCAGGCUGGUAUAAUAUGUUUUUAGAGCAACUGUAUUUGCAACCUUAUUCCUUGGAGUAACACAUUUAAGAGCCUGAAGUACUUACAUGAGACACACAGGAAAUGCUUCUCAGUACUUAACCAGUACACUCUUUUUUUUUUUUGAGACGGAGUUUCGCUCUGUCACCCAGGCUGGAGCACAGUGGCGCCAUCUCGGCACGCUGCAAGCUCCGCCUCCCGGGUUCACGCCAUUCUCCUGCCUCAGCCUCCACCACGUCCAGCUAAUUUUUGUAUUUUCAGUAGAGAUGCGGUUUCACCGUGUUAGCCAGGAUGGUCUUGAUCUCCUGACCUUGUGAUCUGCAUGCCUCGGCCUCCCAAAGGGCUGGGAUUACAGGUGUGAGCCACCGCGCCCGGCCCCAGUACACUCUUUUCUAGACUGCACAGAAUUACUAGAGCAGGCUUGAUUAUCAACCUUGUUCUUUAUAUGAAUGUCAACUGUUUCAAAAAAUCAAAUACUUCCAAAACUGAAAAACAAAAAACAAACAAAAAAAAAACUCCACCAGGUAGAAGGUUCUAAAUGCAAUGGUAGGAAUUUCAAAAAUGCAUAAAAACUAAGGCAGGAUACUGGAAUCAGAUUCUUGCCACUCAAAAUAAGAAUUAUACUUUAAAAAUGUAGAUGAAAGCUGGCUUCACUUCUCCCCACAGAAUAACCAAAAUAAAUAUACACCAUCGAGAUUAUCACCAGCAAUCUCUCAGAACUCAUGAAAGAGAAUCGGUCAGUUCCUGGGGCCACUGAGAAGUAAAAAAAAAAAAAAAAAAAAAAAAAAAAACUCCAGCAGACAGUAAGAGAAUCAGAUUUUCAUAUCUGUGACACCCUUCCCCCAAUCUGCUUGGUAUCAAGCACAUGUAAAACUUCCCCCAACUCAGAUUCUACACUGGAAAAAGUGAGAUUAAGUUGGACACACAACUUGCCUACCAUCUUGGCUUCUUUGGCAGGAGACCUAUCCAUGCCUCAACCCAUGAGAAGCAUCAGGAGUGCCUGAAGGGAGAUACCACCCUGUGGACAGCCGGACACAAAGGAAGGAGGCAGGAUUACCAUCUCCAGCCCUGGAAGCUCCGCUCUGUAACUCAACCAAAGGAGACGCCAAAUCAGAGUGGGUGUUCGGCAGCACUAUGCUGUAGGAGGUAGAUUCCACAGGUCUCUUGGGCAUGAACUCCUAGCCAGCCUUUCCAUACCACAGGGAUAGCUCCUUUGCAACCUCCCCCAUUCCAGCCAGGCAAUCCUCUGAUCCUUUGCUAGAAGAACAGAGGCAAACCUGGGUUUUAAGUACCAUUUAGUGCUGAAAAAGAGGCAGUGACCUAGCGGGAAAAAUGUGUAAGAAAUUCAACAGCUAAAUUACAAAUAAUCUCUAAGCAAACAUACCAGUAAAAACCAAAACAGACUAGACAGAGAAGAUUGGAAUAAAUAAUAAAUCCUUUAAUGCAAAGACACAGACAUAUAUCCAUAAGAACAUGGAACCAUGACCUCCCCAAAUGUAUAAAGCAAGGAACCAGUGACUGACCCUAAUGAGAUGGUGAUUCAUGAGCUCUCUGACCAAGAAUUCAAAAUAGCAGUUUCACAGAAACUCAGGGAUCUCCAAGACAACAAAGAAAAGCAAUUCAGAAACUUAUCAGAGGAAUUUAACAGAGAUUGAAGUGAUAAAAAAUCAAACGAAUCUUGAAAUUGAAAAAUAUAUUUGCUAACUGAAAAAUUUAUUGGAGGCUCUCAACAGCAGAAUGCAUCAAGCAGAGGAAAGAAUCAGUCAGCCCAAAGACAGGCUCUUUGAAAUUACAUAGAGGAGAAAAAGUAAAAUGAAUGGAAAUAUAUUAUACAAAGAUUGCCUACAAGAUAUAGAAAAUUACCUUAAAAGACCAAAUCUAAGAAUUAUUGGUGUUCAAGAGAAAGUUGAGCAAGAGUGAGGGGUAGAAAAAAGCUUACUCAAUAAAUAAUAACAGAAAACUUUCCAAAAUAUGAGAAAAAUAUCCAGGUAGAGGAAGGUCAGAAAACACUAAACAGAUUUGACCCAAAUAAAACUACACCCAAGGCAUAUAAUAAUAAAACUCUCAAAGGUCAAGGACAAAAAGAGGAUACUAAAAGCAGCAAGAAAAAAGGAGGAUAUAACAUACAAAGAAACUCCACUUCAGUUGGCAACACACUUCUCAAUGGAAACCGUAAGUCAGGAGGAAGUGGAAUGAUAUUUUCAAAGUGCUGAAAGAAAAAACCCCAAAAAACCCUGCUAUCCUCAAAUACUUUAUCCAGCAAACAGCAGAAAUAUCCUUCAAGUAUGAAGGAGAGAUAGUCUUUUUCUGACAAACAAAAGCUAAGAGAAUUUACCACUACUAGAUCUGUCUUACAAGAAAUGUUAAAGAUGGUUCUUCAAUCUGAAAUGAAAAAACAUUAAUGUGCAAAAAGAAAACAUUUGAAGGUAUAAAACCUACAGGUAACAUCAAGUAUAGAAACCCCCAGAAUAUUCAAAUACUCUAAUUGUCAUGUGCAGUCCACCCAUAAGUUACCCAUAAUUCUAGUAUGACACCUAGAAGACAAAUCUAUCAAAAACCCUAACAGCUACAGCAAUCUGUUAAGAGAUAGGCAAUAUCAAAAUACGUAAAUUCAGGCCCACAAAAGUCAAAAUGUCAGGGGAUGGAAUUAAAGAUGGAGGGUUGUUUUAAAGUUUUUUAUUUAUUCUUUUUUUUGUGAUCUAAGACAGGGAUCUCCAACUCCUGAGCCAUGGACCAGUACUGGUCCGUCGCAUGUUAGGAACCAGGUCACACAGCACUGCCUGCUCCACCUCCUGUCAGAUCAUUAGCAGCAUAGAUUCUCAUAAGAGUGCAAACCCUAUUGUGAACUGCAAGUGCGAAGGAUCUAGGUUGAGCGUUCCUUAUGAGGAUCUAAUGCCUGAUGAUCUGAGGUAGAACAGUUUCAUCCCAAAACCAUCCCCACUGCCUGAUCUAUGGAAAAAAUGUCUUCCAUGAAACUGGUCCCUGGCGCCAAAACAGACUGGGGACUGCUUAUCUAAGAUAAGCUGUCAUCUCUUUAAAAUAACUUGUUUUAUCUAUAAGAUGUUUUCUAUAAGCCUCAUGGUAACCACAAUGUAAAAACCUAUGAUAAACACACUAAAAAAAACCCCAACAAAUUAAAACAUAGUACCAGAGAAAGUCACUUAACCAUAAAGGAUGACAGGAAGAAAGGAGGAGAAGAGUUACAAAACAACCAGAAAACAAGAAACAAAACGGUAAUUCUCCAUUCAGAAAUUUAUCAGAGAAAUUUAACAAAGAGACAUUAUUCAAAAAAUCAAACAGAAAUCUUAGAACUGAUUAAUACAUUUGAUGGACUGAAAUUCAGCUCCCAAGUAUAUAAAGCAAACAUUAAUAGAUACAAAGAGAGAGAGAGAUUAUAAUACAAUAAUAGUGGAGGACGUCAAAUACCCCAUUUUCACCAAUGAACAGAUCAUCUAGACAGAAAAUUAACAAAGAAACCAUUGUAUCAAACUACACAUCAGACCAAAUAGGUCCAACUGAUAUUUAUAAAACACACUUCACUCAACUAUUCAGAAUACACGUUUCAUCAGUACAUGGAACAUUCCCCAGAAUAAACCAUAUUUUAGGCCACAAAACAAGUCUCAACAAAUUUUUAAAAGUAGAAAUCAUAUCAAGUAUCCUUUCUGACCACAAUGGAAUAAAACUAGAUAUCAAUAACAAGAGGAAUUUUGGGCUAGGUGUGGUGGCUCAUGCCUGUAAUCCCAGUACUUUGGGAGGCUGAGGUGGGUGGAUCAUCUGAUGUCAGGAGUUCGGGACCAGCCUGACUAACAUGGCAAAACCCUGUCUCAUUAAAAAUACAAAAAUUAGCUGGGUGUGGUGGUGUACACCUGUAAUCCCAGCUACUUGGGAGGCUGAGGCAGGAGAAUCACUUGAACCCAGGAGGUGGAGGUUGCAGAUUGCACCACUGCACUCCAGCCUGGAUGACAGAGGGAGACUCCAUCUCAAAAAAAAAAACAAAACAAAAAAACCUUUGGAAAUUAAACAAAAACAUGGAAAUUAAACAACAUGCUCCUGAAUAAACAAUGAGUUGAUGAAGAAAUAAGAACAUUUAAAAAUUUCUCAAAACAAAUAAAAAUAGAAACACAACAUAUCCAAAUCUAUGGGAUACAGUAAACACAGUACUAAGAGGGAGGUUUAUAGCAAUAAACAUCUACAUCAAAAAAGUUGAAAGACUACCAAAAGACAACCUAAUAAUGGACUAAUAAUGGAGCAUCUCAAGGAACUAGAAAAGCAAGACCAAGCCAAACCCAAAUUUACUAGGAGAAAGGAAAUAAUAAAGAUCAGAGCAAAAAUAAAUGAAAUUGAGAUUAAAACAUUACUGAAGAUCAACAAAACAAAAGUUUAGUUAAAAAAAAACUGACAAAACUUUAGCAAGACUAACUAAAAAGAGAGGACCCAAAUAAAUAAAAUCAGAAACAAAAAAGAUACAAAACAACAGAGACCAUAGGAGUACAAAGAAUCAUUAGAGACAAUUGCCAACAAAUUGAAAAAUCUAGAAGACAAAGAUACAUUCCUGGACAUAUACAACCAAAAUUGAACCACGAAGAAAGAGAAAACCUCGACAAACCAAUAGCAAGUAAUAAGAUCAAAGCUAUAAUUAAAACUCUCCUAUCAAAGAAAAGUCGAGGAUCUGAUUAAUUCUAUUAAACAUUUCAAGAAGAACUAUAAUAAUUCUACUCAAAGUCUUCAAAAAAAAAAAAAUUGAAGAGGAAGGAAUGCUCAAACUCAUCCGGCAAGGCGGGCAUUACCCUGAUACCAAAACCAGAUAAGGCCACCAAAAAAAAAAAAAAAAAAAAAAAAGACAACAAUAGGCUAAUUUCACUGAUGAACACAGAUAGAAAAAUCCUCAACAAAAAAUAUUAACAAACUGAAUUCAGCAAGAUAUUAAAAAGAUCAUUCAACAUUAUCAAGUGGGAUUCACCCCAGGGAUGCAAAGAUGGUUCAGCAUAUGCAAAUCAGUAAAUGUGAUACACAUUAACAGAACCAAGAACAAAAACCAUAUGAUCAUUUCAAUAAGUGCUGAAAAGUAUUCAAUAAAAUUCAAUAUCCCUUUUGAUAAAAACCCUCAACAAACCGGGUACAGAGGAAACAUACCUCAAAAUAAUAAAGGCCAUAUAUGAUAAAUCCACAGCCAACAUCAUACCAAACAGGGAAAACCUAAAAGGCUUUCCACUAAGAUCUGGAACAAGACAAGGGGGUGCACUUUCACUACUUUCAUUCAACAUAAAGCGGAAGUCCUGGCCAGUUAGUCAAGAAAAAAAAAUAAAGGUGUUCAUAUUGGAAAGAAAGAAGUCAAAUUCGCUUUGAAUGUAAACGACAGGAUCUUCUAUUUUUAAAAACCAAAAAACUAUUAGAAGUAAUAAGUGAAUUCAGUAAAGCUGCAGGAUACAAAGCCAACAUACAAAAUUCAGUAGCAUUUAUAUAUACCAAUAGUGAACAAUCUGAAAAAGAAAGAAAGUAAUCUAAUUUAUUGUAUCUACACAGAAUGUAAAAUACCCAGGAAUAUUUUGUUUUUUUUUUUGAGACAGGGUUUUGCUCUGUCACCCAGGUUUGCACUCUGUCACCAAUGCAGUGAGCACUGCAGUCUUGAUUUCUUGGUCUCAAGCGAUCCUCUGACUUCAGCCUCCCAAGUAGCUGCAACCACAGGCACAUGCCACCACGUCUGGCUAAUAUUUUGAUUUUUUUUUAGAGAUGAGGUCACACUAUGCUGCCCAGGCUGGCCUCAAACUCCUGGGCUCAAGCAAUUCUCCCGCUUUGGCCUCUCGAAGUGUUGGGAUUGCAGGUGUCAGCCACUGUGCCUGGCCCCUGAGAAUCAAUUUAACCAAAGCUGUGAAAGAUCUUUACAAGGAUCACUAUAAAAAACUGAUUAAAUAAAUAGAAGAUGAAUCAAAAAAUGGAGAAGAUAUUAUUCCAUGCUCAUGGAUUGAAAGAAUAUUGUUAAAAUGACAAUCCUACCCAAAGCAGUUUACUGAUUCAAUGUAAUCCCUAUCAAAAUACCAACAAUAUUCCCCAUAGAAACAGAGCAGACAAUCCUAAAUUUUAUAUGGAACCACAAAUAACCAAAGCAAUCUUGAGCAAAAAGAGCAAAGCUGGAGGCCUCACACUACUUGACUUAAAAAUAUACUACAAGGCUAUAGUAGCCAGAUCAGCACGGUACUGGCAUAAAAAACAGACACAAACACCGACUGAACAGAAUAGUGAACCCAGAUAUAAAUCCAUGCCAUUUGCAGCCAACUAAUUUUUGACAGAGGUGCCAACAAUAUGCAACAGGGAAAGGACAGUCUCUUCAAUAAAUGGCACUGGGAAAACUGGACAACUGUAUGUAGAAGAAUGAAACUAGACCUCUAUCUCUCACCAUGUACAAAUAUCAAAUACAAAUGGAUUUAGACUUAAAUCUAACACCUGAAAUUAUAAAACUAAUAAAAGAAAACAUUGGGGAAAUGCUCCAGGACAUUGGUCUGGGCAAAAAUUUUUUGUUUAAGUUCUCAAAAGCAUAGGCAACAAAAACGAAAAUGGACAAAUGGGAUUACAUCAAGCUGAAAAGCUUCUGCACAGCAAAGGAAACACUCAAACAAGGUGAAGAAACAACCCAUAGAAUGAGAGAAAGUAUUUGCAAACUACCCAUCUGACAAGAUAAAUAACCAGAAUAUAUAAGGAGCUCAAACAACUCAAUAGCAAAAAGUCAUUAAUCUGAUUUUAAAAAGGGCAAAAGGCCUGAACAGGUAUUUCUCAACAGAGGACAAAUGAACAAAGGGUAUAAGAAGUGCUCAAC